UACGUAGGGGGCAAGCGUUGUCCGGAAUCAUUGGGCGUAAAGCGCGUGUAGGCGGUUCGGUAAGUCCGCUGUGAAAGUCGGGGGCUCAACCCUCGAAAGCCGGUGGAUACUGUCGGACUAGAGUACGGAAGAGGCGAGUGGAAUUCCUGGUGUAGCGGUGAAAUGCGCAGAUAUCAGGAGGAACACCGGUGGCGAAGGCGGGUCUCUGGCCCGAUACUGACGCUGAGGAGCGAAAGCGUGGGGAGCGAACAGG
rnacentral:rRNA from 1 species